rnacentral:rRNA from 1 species
UACGGGGGGUGCGAGCGUUGUCCGGAUUUAUUGGGCGUAAAGGGCGCGUAGGCGGUUUCUUAAGUUUGUAGUGACAGUGGGUGGCUUAACUACCCAAGGCCUUUGAAAACUGGGGAACUUGAGGACCAGAGAGGGACAUAGAAUUCCGGGUGGAGUGGUGAAAUGCGUAGAUAUCCGGAGGAAUACCAAAGGCGAAGGCAGUGUCCUGGAGGGUUAACUGACGCUGAGGCGCGAAAGCUAGGGGAGCGAACAGA